AGAGUUUGAUCCUGGCUCAGAACGAACGCUGGCGGCGCGCCUAAUACAUGCAAGUCGAGCGAGAAGGUGUAGCAAUACACUUGUAAAGCGGCGAACGGGUGAGGAAUACAUGGGUAAUCUACCAUCGAGUGGGGAAUAACCAACCGAAAGGUUGGCUAAUACCGCGUACGCCUCCGGAUCUUCGGGUUCGGAGGGAAAGCCACACUGUGAGUGCGGCGCUCUUUGAUGAGCUCAUGUCCUAUCAGCUUGUUGGUAGGGUAACGGCCUACCAAGGCUUUGACGGGUAGCUGGUCUGAGAGGACGAUCAGCCACACUGGCACUGCGACACGGGCCAGACUCCUACGGGAGGCAGCAGUAAGGAAUAUUGCGCAAUGGGCGAAAGCCUGACGCAGCGACGCCGCGUGGGGGAUGAAGGUCUUCGGAUUGUAAACCCCUUUCGGGAGGGAAGAUGGAGCGAGCAAUCGUUCGGACGGUACCUCCAGAAGCAGCCACGGCCAACUUCGUGCCAGCAGCCGCGGUAAUACGAAGGUGGCAAGCGUUGUUCGGAUUCACUGGGCGUACAGGGUGUGUAGGCGGUUUGGUAAGCCUUCUGUUAAAGCUUCGGGCCCAACCCGGAAAGCGCAGAGGGUACUGCCAGGCUAGAGGGUGGGAGAGGAGCGCGGAAUUCCCGGUGUAGCGGUGAAAUGCGUAGAGAUCGGGAGGAAGGCCGGUGGCGAAGGCGGCGCUCUGGAACACACCUGACGCUGAGACACGAAAGCGUGGGGAGCAAACAGGAUUAGAUACCCUGGUAGUCCACGCCCU
rnacentral:rRNA from 1 species